rnacentral:rRNA from 1 species
UACGGAGGGUGCGAGCGUUGUCCGGAAUCAUUGGGCGUAAAGGGCGCGUAGGUGGCCCGGUCAGUUCGUGGUGAAAGCGCGGGGCUCAACCCUGCGUCGGCCAUGAAUACUGCCGCGGCUGGAGCACUGUAGAGGCAGGCGGAAUUCCGGAUGUAGCGGUGGAAUGCGUAGAGAUCCGGAAGAACACCGGUGGCGAAGGCGGCCUGCUGGGCAGUUGCUGACACUGAGGCGCGACAGCGUGGGGAGCAAACAGG